GUGCCAGCCGCCGCGGUAACACGUAGGGGGCAAGCGUUGUCCGGAAUUACUGGGCGUAAAGCGCGCGUAGGCGGUUUGUUAAGUGAGGUGUGAAAGCCCAGGGCUCAACCUUGGAACUGCAUCUCAUACUGGCAGGCUAGAGUACGGUAGAGGGGGGUAGAAUUCCAUGUGUAGCGGUGAAAUGCGUAGAGAUGUGGAGGAAUACCAGUGGCGAAGGCGGCCCCCUGGAUCGAUACUGACGCUAAGGUGCGAAAGCGUGGGGAGCAAACAGGAUUAGAUACCCUGGUAGUCCACGCUGUAAACGAUGUCAACUAGCCGUUGGAAGGGUAAUCCUUUUAGUGGCGUAGCUAACGCGCUAAGUUGACCGCCUGGGGAGUACGGUCGCAAGGUUGAAACUCAAAUAAAUUGGCGG
rnacentral:rRNA from 1 species